rnacentral:RNase_P_RNA from 1 species
CGGAGCGGCUCAGGUGAUCGCUCGCUUUUUUUUAAAAGCGGGAGGAAAGUCCGAGCUUCACAGGGCAGAAUGUCAGCUAACGGCUGGUGGGGGCAACCCCGAGGAAAGUGCAACAGAAAGUAAACCGCCACGCCGCUUUCGACGGCGUCGAAGGCCGCGUGGUAAGGGUGAAACGGCGAGGUAAGAGCUCACCGGAUCGGCGGUAACGUCGAUCGCACGGCAAACCCCAUUCGAAGCAAGACGAAAUAGAAAGGCGUUUGAGAAUGGCCCGUUCGAGCCUUUGGGUUGCGUCGCUUGAGGCGUGUAGCGAUACACGUCCUAGAGGAAUGAUCACCGCUCAUCGUCCGGCAACAGAGAUGAGAACAGAACUCGGCUUAUGAGCUCUCCGGCCG